rnacentral:rRNA from 1 species
UACGUAGGUGGCAAGCGUUGUCCGGAUUUACUGGGCGUAAAGGGCAGGCAGGCGGACUGUUAAGUAGAAAGUGAAAGGUUGGAGCUCAACUCCAACAUUGCUUUCUAUACUGGCAGUCUUGAAUCCCGGAGGGGAAAGCGGAACGACGACGUGUAGCGGUGAAAUGCGUUGAUAUGUGUCGGAACACCAAUGGCGAAGGCAGCUUUCGUGGACG